GCGGGUGUAGUUUAGUGGUAAAAUCACAGCCUUCCAAGCUGUUGUCGCGAGUCCGAUUCUCGUCACCCGCU
rfam:Pediococcus cellicola strain DSM 17757 Scaffold1, whole genome shotgun sequence.